rnacentral:rRNA from 1 species
UACGAAGGGGGCUAGCGUUGUUCGGAAUCACUGGGCGUAAAGCGCACGCAGGCGGAUCGAUAAGUCGGGGGUGAAAGCCCGGGGCUCAACCUCGGAAUUGCCUUCGAUACUGUCGGUCUCGAGUCCGGGAGAGGUGAGUGGAAUUCCUAGUGUAGAGGUGAAAUUCGUAGAUAUUAGGAAGAACACCAGUGGCGAAGGCGGUUCACUGGCCCGGUAAUGACGAUCAGGUGCGAAAGCGUGGGGAGCAAACAGG